UGCGUAGGCGGCCUAUUAAGUCAGUGGUGAAAGGUAUCAGCUUAACUGAUGACGUGCCAUUGAAACUGAUAGGCUUGAGUACAGACGAGGUAGGCGGAAUUUAUGGUGUAGCGGUGAAAUGCAUAGAUACCAUAAAGAACACCAAUUGCGAAGGCAGCUUACUAGACUGAGACUGACGCUGAGGCACGAAAGCGUGGGUAGCAAACAGGAUUAGAUACCCUGGUAGUCC
rnacentral:rRNA from 1 species